AGAACUCUCAGUUAAGUGUGCUUGGGUGAGAGUAGUACUAGGAUGGGUGAACUCUUGGGAAGUCCUCGUGUUGCACCGC
rfam:Arabis alpina cultivar Pajares scaff_56657_1_contig_0, whole genome shotgun sequence.